ACUGAUUCUGCUACAAGAAGAAGUAAUUUUUAUGAAGAUUGUUCAAGUAGCAUCAAAGUGCCAUUUACGGAUAUAUGCAAUACAAUUAAAAUAAGACAAAAGAAAUUGUGGAGGGAAGUGUGGGAUGUGACUAAUGAAAAUAAAGGAAAAUGGUAUGCGGAAAUUCAAAAGGAAAUACCAAUACAACCAUGGUAUUUCAAAACGAAGUGUGAAUCUAGAAAAUUUACAUCAUUAAUGAAUAGACUGAGAUUUGGUCACUGUCUGGUGACAACACACCUGAAUAAAAUAAAAGUACUAAACAGUAAAAAAUGCAACUAUUGUGAAUAUGAGGAGGCUGAUGUUAAUCAUAUUAUGAUACUCAAAUGUCCAGCUUUUGGCAUACAAAGACUUAUAUUAGCCAGUGAUCUAAACACUAUAAAUAUGGAACAAAAACAAAAAAUUGAUUUUCCCCGCCAUGUAAAGGAUUUGUUGUGUAAAACGUCAUAUUUUAAGUCUAUUUUUAAUUAUAUAUGCAAUACUAUAAAUAAAGUGUAAUAACGUUAGACUAAUUAUUAGUUAUAAGCAAUUUUGUAUUUUUAGAAUAAUAUUUAGUUAUAAGCAAUUUUGUAUUUUUAGUAUUUGUAAAUUUUUGAAAGGCCUUAAAGAACUGUUAUCCAGGGCCGUAAAAUAAAUU